GUCUACAGCCAUACCACCCUGAAUGCGCCUGAUCUUGUCUGAUCUCAGAAGCUAAGCAGGAUCGGGUCUAGUUAGUACCUGGAUGGGAGACUGUCUGGGAACACCAGGCGCUGUAGGCU
rnacentral:rRNA from 1 species